AUCGCUUCUUGGCCUUUUGGCUAAGAUCAAGUGUGGUAUCUGUUCGUAUCAGUUUAAUAAUCGUGGAUGAUGUUACAAGGAACACCUU
ensembl:snRNA U2 U2 spliceosomal RNA